rnacentral:rRNA from 1 species
GAUGAACGCUGGCGGCGUGCUUGACACAUGCAAGUCGAACGAGAAGUGAAGACGGAAACCUUCGGGCGGAAGGCUUUAUUUCGAGUGGCGGACGGGUGAGUAACGCGUGGGUAACCUGCCUCAUACAGGGGGAUAACAGUUGGAAACGACUGUUAAUACCGCAUAAGACCACAGCACCGCAUGGUGCGGGGGUAAAAACUCCGGUGGUAUGAGAUGGACCCGCGUUCGAUUAGCCAGUUGGCGGGGUAACGGCCCACCAAAGCGACGAUCGAUAGCCGAUCUGAGAGGAUGACCGGCCACAUUGGGACUGAGACACGGCCCAAACUCCUACGGGAGGCAGCAGUGGGGAAUAUUGCACAAUGGGGGAAACCCUGAUGCAGCGACGCCGCGUGAGUGAAGAAGUAUUUCGGUAUGUAAAGCUCUAUCAGCAGGGAAGAAAAUGACGGUACCUGAGUAAGAAGCCCCGGCUAACUACGUG